AAUGUUGGCCUUGCCAUUGUCAUCUACCCCAUCAAUCUCUGCUAAGCAUUUAAAACAAAAGCACACCCAAACAUAACUCUAAAUGUUGGCCUGACCUUUAUAUUUAAUCAAGUAGCUCUUCUUGAAUAGCUACCAACUGUCUUAUAAGCCAGAGCAGAGAUGAUAGAUCUA